rnacentral:rRNA from 1 species
UACGUAGGGGGCAAGCGUUGUCCGGAUUUAUUGGGCGUAAAGAGCGUGUAGGCGGUUAGGUAGGUCCGUUGUGAAAACUCGAGGCUCAACCUCGAGACGCCGAUGGAAACCAUCUGACUAGAGUCCGGAAGAGGAGAGUGGAAUUCCUGGUGUAGCGGUGAAAUGCGUAGAUAUCGGGAGGAACACCUGUGGCGAAAGCGGCUCUCUGGACCACAACUGACGCUGAGGCGCGAAAGCUAGGGGAGCAAACAGG